AAAUAAGAAGCAAAGUUUGCAACUAAUUUCGACCUAGUUCUUGAUUUUUAUAAUCCUUAUUUA
rnacentral:tRNA from 1 species